UACAGAGGGUGCGAGCGUUGUUCGGAAUCAUUGGGCGUAAAGCGCUUGUAGGCGGCUUGUUAAGUCGCGUGUGAAAUCCCUUGGCUCAACCAAGGAAGUGCGCGCGAAACUGGCGAGCUCGAGUGCCGGAGAGGGUCGCGGAAUUCCCGGUGUAGAGGUGAAAUUCGUAGAUAUCGGGAGGAACACCAGUGGCGAAGGCGGCGACCUGGACGGACACUGACGCUGAGACGCGAAAGCGUGGGGAGCAAACAGGAUUGAGAUAC
rnacentral:rRNA from 1 species